AUACGUAGGGCGCGAGCGUUGUCCGGAAUUACUGGGCGUAAAGAGCUCGUAGGUGGUUUGUCGCGUCGUCUGUGAAAUUCCGGGGCUUAACUCCGGGCGUGCAGGCGAUACGGGCAUAACUUGAGUACUGUAGGGGAGACUGGAAUUCCUGGUGUAGCGGUGAAAUGCGCAGAUAUCAGGAGGAACACCGGUGGCGAAGGCGGGUCUCUGGGCAGUAACUGACGCUGAGGAGCGAAAGCAUGGGUAGCGAACAGGAUUAGAUACCCUGGCAGUCCAUGCCGUAAACGGUGGGCGCUAGGUGUAGGGGUCUUCCACGACUUCUGUGCCGUAGCUAACGCAUUAAGCGCCCCGCCUGGGGAGUACGGCCGCAAGGCUAAAACUCAAAGGAAUUGACGGGG
rnacentral:rRNA from 1 species